UACGUAGGCAGCGAGCGUUGUUCGGAAUUACUGGGCGUAAAGAGUGCGUAGGCGGUGCUCUAAGUCUGGUGUGAAAUCUCCCGGCUCAACUGGGAGGGUGCGCCGGAAACUGGAAUGCUUGAGUGUGGGAGAGGUAAGCGGAAUUCCUGGUGUAGCGGUGAAAUGCGUAGAUAUCAGGAGGAACACCUGUGGUGUAGACAGCUUACUGGACCACGACUGACGCUGAGGCACGAAAGCCAGGGGAGCAAACGGG
rnacentral:rRNA from 1 species